rnacentral:rRNA from 1 species
AUGUUGCUACUCCUCUCCAUCAGGAUCUAUCUCUUUCUCAUUGUCUCUAUCUCUCUCUCAUGGAUCGGCAACUGCAUUCUUCCCAAAUAUAUGCUCAAAUACACACACAAACGACAUCCAGUAAGUGCUUGGACACCCGGCAGAUUGAAAGUACAGAAGCAAAGAUAUCCAAUACGAGGCCACGAUGCCCGACAGAGACGCGGCCAAUAUGCUCCUAAUCUUUAUUUCUUGAUUUUGGAACCACAAAUUCCUGGAACACUGCCCAGUGUUUCAGCUGCGUACAUGUCUACAACAAUACUAGCAGAUCUGAAUUUGUGUUGCUAA